GUCGGGAAUCUUCCGCAAUGGGCGCAAGCCUGACGGAGCGACGCCGCGUGAGCGAUGAAGGCCUUCGGGUUGUAAAGCUCUGUGGGGAGGGAAGAAUAAGGGCAGGUUAAUAGCCUGUUUGAUGACGGUACCUCCUUAGCAAGCACCGGCUAACUCUGUGCCAGCAGCCGCGGUAAGACAGAGGGUGCAAACGUUGUUCGGAUUUACUGGGCGUAAAGCGCGUGUAGGCGGCUUUGCAAGUCGGAUGUGAAAGCCCACGGCUCAACCGUGGAAGUGCAUCCGAAACUGCAUGGCUUGAGUCUCGGAGAGGAAGGUGGAAUGCUUGGUGUAGAGGUGAAAUUCGUAGAUAUCAAGCAGAACACCUGCGGCGAAGGCGGCCUUCUGGACGAUGACUGACGCUGAGACGCGAAAGCGUGGGGAGCAAACAGGAUUAGAAACCCUUGUAGUCC
rnacentral:rRNA from 1 species